rnacentral:lncRNA from 1 species
CAGAUUCCAAGAGAUUCUCAGAUAUCCCAAAGAAGUCUCAAUUCAAGUGGGUAAGGCCUUCACGUUUUGAAGUGUGACAUUAGUAGACCAAGCAAGCAUAUUCAGGCAGAGUGGUGUCAAGCAACAGCUGAACUUCACAUAUAUUCCCCUACUAAAAUCCAGAGCAGGAUACACUUCCUAGAAUCUGUAAUCUCUUCCCUGAAAAGAAAAAUAACAGUGACUCAUCAGCUAUUGGUUUAUUCCACAAAAAGGGGCUCUGGAAUGAUGAUGCUUCUACCCAAGACUACUUUUGCUUC